GCUUGCUUGUUGGGGUUGUAGGACACUCUAUACGGAGUUACAAAGGACGACAUUAGACGAAUCAUCUGGAAAGAUGAAUCAAAGAAGGUAAUAAUCCUGUAGUCGAAAAUGUUGUCUCUCUUGAGUGGAUCCUGAGUACGACGGAGCACGUGAAAUUCCGUCGGAAUCUGGGAGGACCAUCUCCUAAGGCUAAAUACUCUCUAGUGACCGAUAGUGAACCAGUACCGUGAGGGAAAGGUGAAAAGCACCCCGGAAGGGGAGUGAAAUAGAACCUGAAACCGUGUGCUUACAAGUAGUCAGAGCCCGUUAAUGGGUGAUGGCGUGCCUUUUGUAGAAUGAACCGGCGAGUUACGAUUUGAUGCAAGGUUAAGCAGUAAAUGUGGAGCCGUAGCGAAAGCGAGUCUGAAUAGGGCGUUUAGUAUUUGGUCGUAGACCCGAAACCAGGUGAUCUACCCUUGGUCAGGUUGAAGUUCAGGUAACACUGAAUGGAGGACCGAACCGACUUACGUUGAAAAGUGAGCGGAUGAACUGAGGGUAGCGGAGAAAUUCCAAUCGAACCUGGAGAUAGCUGGUUCUCUCCGAAAUAGCUUUAGGGCUAGCCUCAAGUGAUGAUUAUUGGAGGUAGAGCACUGUUUGGACGAGGGGCCCCUCUCGGGUUACCGAAUUCAGACAAACUCCGAAUGCCAAUUAAUUUAACUUGGGAGUCAGAACAUGGGUGAUAAGGUCCGUGUUCGAAAGGGAAACAGCCCAGACCACCAGCUAAGGUCCCAAAAUAUAUGUUAAGUGGAAAAGGAUGUGGCGUUGCCCAGACAACUAGGAUGUUGGCUUAGAAGCAGCCAUCAUUUAAAGAGUGCGUAAUAGCUCACUAGUCGAGUGACACUGCGC
rnacentral:rRNA from 1 species